AAAUAUCUAAUGGGUAAAUCAUUGUAGUACUGUAGCUUAGUUUUAUAGUGACGACUGCUGUACUAAUUACCUUAACCGGAUUUAUAUUAAGGUAUAAUGUGAUAAUUGCACCAUACUAUCGACUGAUAACAACGACAUAAAGAACGGUCGUAAUAACGGAAUGACGUUUGGCACCCGCAGACCUGCAGGUCCGGCUGUAGCUAGCAGCAAGGUGUAGGAUAGUCAAUCCAGUAUAGAUCUAUACGCAAACUCAACGCUCUCCCUCCAAGAGAAUUCUGGCUACAACUCGGGCCAUGACAUUUAAGGCAUGCUCCGAUACAGUGGAUCACAUUUGUUAUCGUAUUCUUGCAUGUGUGAUGAAAUGUUUCUUGUUCUAGUAUAGUUGUAUAUGUUCUCGUAGUAUAGUUGUAUAUAUUCUCUUCCUAGUAUAGACUCAUGAAUGAACUGACUCAUUGAUCUAGCAGUUGUAAUAGUAUGAUUCUGUGUUACCCCGAUGGUAACUUGUUAACAGUGCGUUUAGUACAUAUGAUUAUGGAAGUACUUUUAUGUCUAUAUAUGUAUAUUUGAUAUAUAAUUAAUAUGGAAACGACCUUCGGAUGGUCACCCAAAAUCCUAUCAGACCACAUCCAAAUCGAGGAAAAGGAAACAAGGUGGAUAGCCUUCCUAAGUCCUUUAAACAUUAUUUAUACGUCUAUACAUAUAUGGGCAUGCAAUUUGUAAUAUAAAAGCAUAAAUAAGUAUUUAUAAGGCAUUUGAAACAUAAGUAUUAUUUUUAAAGAAAGAUUGACUUGAUGUCAAUCUAUAAAACCAUUUGAAGGUGUAGAUUUGAUUAAAACAGUUUAAGUAUAAGGAACAUUUGCUUAAAUCACAGUUGCAGUGUAAAUUCGAAAAGUAAAUGGGUUUGGAAAACAUUUAGAAGUAAAACAGUUUGAUAGAUAGUUUGAAUAGUGAUAAAACCACUGAUUUCCCUAGUUAUUAAUCACAUGUGAUUAGUACAAUCACAUGUGAUUGAAACAAUAACUAUAAGUAUUUAACUUGUAUUCCCCCCUUUUGAAAGCAUAUAAAAGCAUUUAGAAUAUUUAACAGGUUGAUUAAGGGGUAUGAAACUCACUUGAUUGAUUGAAGAAAGCGAGAUGGAAAACCGGGCAGAGUUUCGUCUCGGAAAACGGAUUUUUCUCGGGAUUCUCGGGAAUCUCGGGAGUAAAAUCGACCCUCGGGACUUGAGCAAAAAGACCAGAGCUUCGGGUUAUAACGGGCACGGAAAACGAGACAAAGUUGUGAGAGAGAGGAGAGAAAUGAGCAACAUUUUCGGAAAGCCUCGCAUCCUAUUUAUAGGAAGGCUGAACCGCCUCCGAACGCGGGGCGUACGCUCGUACGCAGCGCGUACGCGUACGUCAUGCAUGACCGAAGCCUCGACUGCCUCGGUUCGGAUGGGACGGGUUGCUGGGUACGCGGGUCGGAUGGGACGGCGGGUCGGACGGGACAGCGGGUCGGACGGGUCGGAGCUUCGGACGGGUCGGACGGGUUAGAACUCUUCGGAUAGUGCGACGUGGACGAUCCGAGACCCUCGAUCUCAGUACGCGGGGCGUACGAAGGUACGCAGGGCGUACUUCGGUCCAAUCCGAUGACUCCCCUUCGGAUAUUACCGGGAAUUUAUAAUUAAAUUUUUAUUUAUUUUAAAUAAACUUCAAAAAUUCAUAUCUCUCUCAUACGAACUCCGUUUUUGACGUUCUUUAUAUCCUCGCGAAGGUGAGACCAUGAUCUACGACUUUCGUUUAGAUUCCGUUGGCUAAUUCCGAAAUUAUUUUUAUUAUUUAUUUAUUAAAAUGACGUGAUUAAGGAAUUUCUUCAAAAAUUCAUAACUUCCUCAUCCGAAGUCAGAUUUGGACGUUCUUUUUAUGUACGCAAACCUUGAUAUGAUUCCUAUUACUUUAUUUAAUCCGAAUAAGAUUUUAGGAAGGUUACAUUUUGACCUAAAUUUGAUCGGUUUUACAUUACAUUGACUCGAAAUAUCGGGUUGUCACAUCAUCCCCCCGUUAGAAGGAAUUUCGUCCCGAAAUUAGAAUUUUAAGCAAGCUAGAAUUUACAAAUAACUAAGCAAAAAGGUGAGGGUAUUUCAGUUUCAUCUGAUCCUCACGUUCCCAAGUGAAUUCCGGUCCUCGCUUGGCAUUCCAGCGAACCUUCACGAUAGGGAUACGGCUUUGCUUUGUCUGCUUGACCUCACGGUCCAUGAUCUCUAUAGGUUCUUCCACGAAGUUGAGGCUCUCGUUGAUUUCGAUCUCGUCGAGUGGGAUUACAAGAGUCUCGUCGGAUAGACACUUUUUCAAGUUAGAUACGUGGAAUGUAGAAUGUACGUUACGAAGUGCGUCUGGUAGUUCGAGUUUGUAAGCUACGGGGCCGACUCUUGCAAGAAUCUCGAAAGGCCCUAUGUACCUCGGAUUAAGCUUUCCACGCUUGCCGAAGCGUAUCAAGCCCUUCCAGGGUGAGACUUUGAGGAGGACUCGGUCUCCCACCUGAAAUUCCAAAGGUUUCCUUCGUUUAUCAGCGUAGCUCUUCUGUCGGUCUCUAGAGGCUUUCAAUCGUUCACGGAUCUGAACGAUUUUCUCUGUUGUUUCCCGAAUGAUCUCCGGACCGGUGAGAGUACUGUCGGAAGUUUGCCCCCUGGCUAAUUGGGUAUCACCCACCUCAGCCCAGCACAGAGGGGAUCUGCACUUACGGCCGUAGAGAGCUUCAAAUGGAGCAGCCUUGAUGCUCGUGUGAUAACUGUUAUUAUAGGAAAACUCGACAAGGGGUAAAUGAGUAUCCCAUGCCUUCCCAAAGUCAAUCACGCAGGCUCGCAACAUAUCUUCUAGAGUUUGGAUGGUCCUCUCACUCUGUCCGUCGGUCUGAGGAUGGUAGGCUGUGCUCAUGUCCAGCCUCGUUCCUAGGGAAUGUUGUAGUGAUUGCCAAAAUCUUGAGGUGAACCUACUAUCUCUAUCGGAGAUAAUGGACAUAGGUACACCAUGUAGCCGUACGAUUUCCCUAAUGUAUGUUCUCGUAAGCUUCUCCAUCUUGUCGGUUUCUUUGAUAGGCAGGAAGUGUGCAGACUUGGUCAAUCUAUCAACGAUGACCCAUAUGGUGUCAAGUCCACCCGUUGUCUUGGGCAACUUGGUUAUGAAAUCCAUAGUGAUCCGCUCCCACUUCCAUUCCGGGAUCUCUGGUUGCUGCAAUAAACCAGAGGGCUUCUGGUACUCGACCUUAACCUUUGCGCAAGUAAGGCAUUUACUUACGAAGGUAGCAAUCUCUGCUUUCAUAUUAGGCCACCAGUAUAGCUUCUUAAGAUCCAGAUACAUCUUAUCUGAACCUGGGUGGACGGAAUACCGAGUGUUGUGCGCCUCGGUCAUGACCAAGUCUCGGAAGCCACCAUGUUUCGGUGUCCAGAUCCGGUUCAUGAAAUAUAAAGCUCCGUCACCCUUGGCUUCUAAAUUCUUGUCCAUUCCUCUAAGGGAUUCACUUGACACAUUUUCAGAUUUCAUGGCCUCAAGUUGAGCCGCCUGAAUUUGCUUAGUCAGGUGUGAAUGGAUGGUUAUCGAUAAUGACUUGACUUUGCGACCAGAAUAUUCCUUCCGACUUAGGGCGUCUGCUACUACGUUGGCUUUACCCGGAUGAUAACGAAUAUCGCAUUCGUAAUCACUGAGUAGCUCGACCCAUCGUCGUUGUCUCAUGUUGAGCUCCUUCUGAUCGAAAAUGUGUUGUAAACUCUUGUGGUCGGUAAAGAUAGUGCUCUUCGUUCCAUACAAGUAAUGUCUCCAGAUCUUCAGAGCAAACACUACUGCUCCUAGUUCAAGAUCGUGGGUCGUGUAGUUAACCUCGUGUGUCUUCAAUUGUCUUGAGGCGUAGGCGAUGACCUUACCUCGCUGCAUCAGAACACAUCCGAGUCCUUGGUUUGAUGCAUCGCAAUAAACUACGAAGUCUUCUAUUCCUUCGGGAAGGGAUAGUAUUGGUGCGGUGCACAAGGCUCGUUUGAGCGUUUGGAACGCUCUUUCUUGUUUCUCUUCCCAGUCAAAGGCCACACCUUUCUGGGUUAGGGUUGUAAGAGGCUUCGCUAUUCGUGAGAAGUUCUGAAUGAACCUGCGGUAGUAGCCAGCGAGACCUAGAAAUUGACGAAUUUCUGUAGGAGUCUUCGGUGCUGACCAGUUCUCAAUGGCCUUAAUUUUGGAUGGGUCCACGUGGAUUCCCUCUUCGCUUACCACGUGUCCUAAGAAUUCGACUCUUCGGAUCCAAAAUUCACAUUUCGAGAACUUCGCAUAAAGUUUCUCUUUUCGUAAUGUCCCUAGAACUUGUCGCAGAUGAUCGCCAUGUUCUUUCUUACUUCGGGAGUAGAUUAGGAUGUCGUCAAUGAAAACGAUGACGAACUGAUCCAAGUAGGGUCGGCAUACUCUAUUCAUCAGAUCCAUGAAGACUGCGGGCGCAUUGGUCAAUCCGAAUGGCAUCACCACGAACUCGUAAUGUCCGUAACGAGUUCGGAAGGCGGUCUUCGGCACAUCCUCCUCUAGCACUCGUAACUGGUGAUAUCCGGAUCUCAGAUCAAUCUUAGAAAAAUAGUUCGCCCCUUGCAGUUGGUCGAAUAGAUCAUCUAUGCGUGGUAGAGGAUAACGAUUCUUGACCGUCAGUUUGUUGAGUUCUCUGUAGUCAAUACACAUACGGAAGGAUCCGUCCUUCUUCUUAACAAACAAGACCGGUGCUCCCCAAGGUGAGAAACUUGGCCUUAUAAAGCCCUUGCUGAGCAGUUCGUUAAGUUGACCAGAGAGUUCUUGCAUCUCGGCUGGUGCUAAACGGUAGGGCGACUUGGCUACUGGGGUAGCUCCUGGGACUAAGUCGAUUCUGAACUCGACUUGUCGUUGCGGAGGUAAUCCGGGUAGUUCUUCUGGGAAAAUGUCGGGGAAGUCGCUCACUACUGGGAGGUUCUUUAGUUCUUUCGUUUCUAGGUUCGUGUCGACGACGUGAGCAAGGAAUGCGUGGUAUUCCUUACGCAGGUAUUUCUGUGCUUGAAUACUUGAUAUGAUGCGAAGACUUGCACCGGGUUUGUCGCCAUAGACUAUAAGAGUUUCGUUAGACGGAAGGUUUAGACGGACUGCUUUCUCGAAGCACAUGAUGUCGGCACGAUGAAGGCUUAACCAGUCCAUGCCAAUGAUGACGUCGAAACUUUUUAUUGAGACUGGCAUGAGGUCGAUUGGAAAUGAAUGGUUGUCUAGGGUUAGGGUACAACCUAAGUAUAUGCUACUCGUAUUUUCAGUUUUUCCAUUAGCCAUUUCUACUGUAAAUAGUUCUUUGAGUGCGUGCGGUGGUUGAUUAAGCAUGCGAGCAAAUUUAUGGUUUACGAAGCUUCGCUCCGCUCCACUAUCGAAUAGAAUGCAUGCAUAGGAGUUAUCGAGGAGGAACGUACCGGUUACUACUGUCGGGUCAGCAACUGCUUCCCCGUGGCCUAUAGCCAGUACCCUCCCUGCUCCUCCAGCAUUCCUCGCUUUGGGGCAGUCCCUCUUAAAGUGGCCUGCUUCGCCACAUCCAUAGCAGGUUGGGCUCGCGCCAGAGCCAGGGACUUGGUUGAUAGGUUGUGCCGGGAACUUACAGAAUCGGACGGUGUGUCCUUUCCUGUUGCAGUUAGAGCACUGCAAUUCACGGCAGGGGCCGUUGUGGUGGUAGCUGCAUUUGUUGCACUUGGGCGAACUUCCAGCAUACCGACUCACCGGAGCAGUAGUAGCAGCAGUAGGGGUUACUGCGGCAUGAAUUGCCACCAAUUGCUGCUUUUUGGCAGCCUGAUGCUUCUUCCUUUCAUCCCAGAAUUUCCGCUUAGUAUCGGCGGGUUUGGAGGGUUCCGGGAUGGCUAGGGUGGUUGUGGUUGCAGGGGUUUUGACUCCAUGGUCAAUGAGUCGUUGUGCCAAUCGUUUGGCACUGUCGAAGGUAGCGGGGUUUGACGCUAGCACAUUCCCCUGAUACGGAGGCACUAGUCCCCAUAUGUACCUCUCGAUCUUCUUCCCCUCGGUGGGAACCAUAUUGGGGCAGAGGGCCACCAGCUCGCUGAAUCGGGCAGUAUAAGCGACCACAUUGGUGCCCUUCAUCGACAGGUUCCAGAGUUCCUGCUCCAGUUUCUGGAUCUCGCCCCUCGGGCAGUAUUCCUCAGUCAUGAGGUCUUUCAUUGUUUCCCAGCCCAUGUCGUUGGCUACGACGAGAGUUAGGGCUUUGACGUGGCCGUUCCACCACGUUAGGGCUUUACCCUCAAAGGUGCAGGCGGCAUAUUUCACCUUGCACGCAGCAGGGCAUGAACAAAUUUCGAAGACUGAUUCAGUCUUCUCGAACCACUGCGAGAGAGCAAUGACUCCGCCGGUGCCAUAGAAAGGCUUCGGCUUGCAGUUUGUAAAAUCCUUGUAAGAGCACUCCCUUGAGCGCACAGGGAUUUCGAUCGGAAUAGAUUCCACAGGGGUUCCACCUCUGCUGGCAUCAGAAGAGUGAUACUGAGCCAUGGCAGUUGCCACUGCUGCAGCUACAACAGCAUUCAGGGCUACAGUAUCGAUGACCGGAGGCGGAGGAGGUGGUGGAGGUGCAGGAUUAUUCCUAUUCCUGGGAGACUUGCGAGGAGGCAUCCUUCAGCUGAAAGUUUAAAAAGAUAAGAAAGAUGGUAAGAAUCAAUUUGUAAGCAACGCGAGAGUGACACAUGGACUAACUAAACAUAGUCCAACAGUUGAAAGGGUGCUUGAAACCACAACAAGCAUUAUUAGUAGGAAAGCACAAGUGUAUAGAUUUUUCCCCAGAUAGAUAGAUCUCAAAAAUUUACUGGUAUUACUGAUGUAAUAAGUUCAGGGAAAAUCGACCUAACAGUAGGUCAUACAUCAUACCAUAUAGAAAAGUUUGACAGUCCUUAGAUUUCAAAUUUGAGUACGGAAGUUAGAAACAUUUUACACACAAGCGCUACUUGGAGCACAGAUGUUAAAGGCUAUCCUUUAAUUAAAAGACGGAGCUGUACUAGACAUCAACCAACGGCGAUGGGAAAAUCCCGGGCGAGUACUGCGGUCGGAUACUUGACGAAACACCUCUUGAAUGGGUCGAUCCUGAGUCCUCUGACGAGCUCGAAGUUCCAAUAUUUCAGCUCGUGAGGCAGCCAACUGCUACUGCAGGGUUUUAUUUGUCCUCCGGGUCCGUUCCAUGUCUUCUUCAAGACGGCGGAUGCUGACUGUGUUGACACCUGAGUCGGCAUCAAUCUCUAUGACCCGGUCGACGGCUGCUCCACCUUGCUCGACAAUACGAGCUAUUCUGCGGAUAAUGACAGGCAGAGCUCGGUCAGUAGAGCCACCAUCGCUGACGUUGUAAAAGGUUCGGUCCCCAAAGUAUGGUAAGGGUUGACCCUGAUCAUCACUCCAGCGGUUCGGUUGUUUGCCCACAUGGGUGUAGGACCUGGAAACGCUGGUCGAGGGUUGUUGUUCGGGGCUUGACCUACAAUCGGUAGGUUGUUGACUUCAGGCUCGGAGUCGGACCCAUCUGAAAAGCCUUCUGCGAGGUGAUCAUCCAAAGGGAUUGGAUGAUCAACUUCGGGCUCUUCAUCGAUCCACCCGGCAUUGCCUUCAUUGGGAAAGUACGGGUCGCCAUGAUGGAUAUCUAGCCAUCAAGAUCUACGCGAGAAUAGAGGUAUAAGAAUAUAGUAUACGUGUAACUAGUAGCGCAAAAUACUCCUAUAGUAUUUUAAGUUUAAGUUCUAUUGAUCUUCUUGUGGUAUUGUUGGUAAGUUUUUAGACUUGCUAACCUAUCACAACCAUUCUAAGGCAUGUGCUAAUCACUCCUAGGAUCAGCAUAGUUGAUCAGGCUAUGCCAUUCCCAGGACUGACCAUACAUCCCCGAGCUCACUUGUGAUAUUUAACAAUCGUAAUACUUUUGUUCUUGUCAUUGUGACACUUAUUUUAGUAUGAAUGCAGACUAGUAUACUUAGUUAAAUAUUUUAUUAUUUUAAGUAUAGACUCUUGGUCAGAGUUUAAUCCCCAAUGGGUUUAUAGUUUAGUAUAUCUUUUAUGGGUUGAUAUACUCAAUUCACUAUAAACAAUGCUCUGAUACCAAUCUGUCACACCCCAAAACCAAGAACGGCGGAAACGUUCUGGGGCGGAGGACGUCAUGUAAGGUAAUCACAACACAGUAAAUGUAAAUAAGCAAACAACAUCAUCCAUUGCAUUAAAUAUAUAAAUUUAAUACAUGCGUGUUCUGUACAGUUUUAGACACCAAAAAUGGUUUCAGGGGCGGAGGACCAACUGACUUACGUUUCCUGUACUGCUGAAGAAGAUUGCUUGAUGCUGAGAUAGAACCAAGCAUGGUUUCAGGAAUAGAGCCAAUGUAUGAGAAUUUGGUUGGAUCAGUGACGAUGAUCUUCGUCGUGUGAAAGGUGGCGAUGGAAGAAAGCAAGGAAUCUGCCAUAAUUGGGACACGAUUGCGAUCCAUUGCCCACUUGGUGAUGAUGGUCCAGAAACUCCCACAUGAAAUUUCUGAGUGCUUUGAUGAAGAGAGUAGACUUUAAACCAAUUGCUGCCAAAUUAUAGACCCAUAGUCAAGGUUGAGCCCGCUAUACAACCCAUACAGCACCGUCAUAAAAGCCUUGCUAGCACCAUCAGAACCAGCACUUCGCUCAGACAAACCAUUGAAUAAGAGUGUGAAUAGGCCAUUCCAUUGAGGAGGAAGGCAGGACUUCUUGAACUUCGUGACGGUUGUUAGGGUUUUAGUAUACCCCAUUUGAUAAAACAUGGUAAACAAUUGGCCAAUAGUAAUGGAGUCAGGGUUUACCAGAGACGGUUCUUAUGAGAGACCGAUUAGGGCAGAUAAUCGGCUCUUCGAGAUAGAGACCUUCUCAUCGUGAAGCUCGAAAUGGAUACGUUCAAUUGCCUUGUCGUAGAACGCCGUAGAGUAGACAUGGGAUAAGAACGACAUGGGCGCAAUUUCAACCUUUGUCAGUGCAUCGACAAGUGGUGAGUAUUUGAGACACUCAACCACAUAUAACAUAUACGGCUUAUAAACGAAGGGAGUGAGAUCGAUGAUUAGGUUUUGUUGGGGUUUUACGGUGAGUAGGGGUUGAUGAACUGAGGUAUCAUGAACAGAUGAAGAUUCUACCAUUGUAGGAGCUUGAGAAUGAUCAUGAAUAGUUGCAGAAAAUAGGCGGGUUUCAUUGACAGCUUUUUGGAAGUGAUAAAGGUUGAGAGAGUACCGUUCCAAUUCCUUUUAUACGUACAGGGAAGAGAGAGAAGAAUCCGGAUGAAAUCUUGGAUUAUCUCUAAAAUCGCGCCUGAAUUGAUGUGGGAACAGUUGGCACGCUGAAGAUGAUGCAGGACGGAGAAAAACAUUUCCCCUUUUUCAUGCCUUUUGAUAAAAAUCACCUUUAUCAAAUCGCCAAACCUUUUGAAUUUUUGCUGAGUCAGCGACCUUUUCAUCCCAAUCGUUUCACCUGAUGACACUUGAAUGUUUGUGCCUUGAUAAUCUGUGUAAAACUUAGAAUUGUCGAAAAUUAAAAAAUUUCGUGCAAAGGGUGUAAAAGAUAAAGAAAUAAAACUAGUAUUUUGGGAUUAUCUGUGAUGUCGUAUUUAGACAUGAAACAAUUGAUUGUAGGCAAAAAUUACUUCCUUCAAAGUCAAGAGAGACAUUGAAGUGCUUGCUUGGUUACCCAUGAAAUAACGAUCAAUAACUUCUUCAGAAGUUUUGAAAGGCAUCUUUUAAAGGAUAAAGUGGGUGGCUUUCACUUCAAUUCAUAAUUUCGAUACUUAACAUAAGAUCAAAAUAGAAUGAAGUACUUGUGAGAUCAUUGUGAUCUGUUGAACAAGUAGGUGAGAAAUAAUUUAUAGUGAUAAGAGAGUUUAAGAAAUCUCAAAAAAAUAAACUGAAUCUUUUAGGGUUAGAGGCACCUUGCUGAAAGGCAAUCUCAUAAAGAUUACUCAAAAAGAGAAAGAGAUUUCAUUGGGUAACAAGUAAUAUCUUGAAUUAUUGAAUUCACCAUCAAUUCAUUAGUGGUGUUGAAUUUUGGGUUUCACUUAGUACAUAGUGGCAUGAAACUAAGAUCAUGAACGCAGAUUUUGUAUAACCAUAAACCUCAGUGGUUAAAACCGAAAGUCUUAGGGGUUAUAUUGAUGAAGCGAAAUAUAAUGGAGAAAGAGGAUGGAUAUGGUGUAAGAAACGAAUGUAGCUCUGCUUAUUUAAGAAAAGAGGGUCCAAGCAGACAACUCUAAACUCAGUUUGAGUAUAGUAAGGUAGCUCAUGAUUAGAGUGAACUUGACAGCCUGAAUUGGGAAAACAUGAUUGGUGUUGAUCAUGUUAUUAAGGCUUCACUCAAAAUUAGUUGAGGCUUGAGUCUACAUACAACAGCAUGCUUCUAGGGACACCUAGCUAACAAAAAAAAUUUACCUACCGUAGAUGCGUCAUCGAGAGUCACACUUAGACGAACAUAAAAACGUUAGAAAUAAGGAAAAUAGAAAAACAAAGAAAAUAUUUUUGGGUUUUUGUGAGAACAAAAUAAUUGAACAGAACAAAAAAAAUAUUUUUGGGAUUUUAUUAGUAAAAAAAUAUACAAAUGAAUACCCUUGAAACACCUUUAAAAAUUAGCAAGUUCAAGGACCGAACCCGAAAUAGACUGAACGCUCGGUUCAUUUCGGUUCAUAUAGGUUCGCUCUAUUUCGCUUGUUACCUUCAUGAGAGCGAAGGCAAUUUCGGUACUGACUCGGCUUGCAUCAUCCCUAGGCCUUGUAAGAUCUUAUUUAAGCUUGCUUAAGGUAAAUCCUUUGUGAAUAUGUCCGCCAGUUGAUCAGUCGUUCUUACGAAGUGAAUUUCGACGUUGUCAUCUUCGACAAGAUCCUUGAUGAAGUGGUACCUCAGUGCGAUAUGCUUUGUCUUCGAGUGUUGCACCGGGUUGUGACAAAUUCUGAUUGCGCUUUCAGAGUCACAGUAUAGGGGGAUUUUCUUCAUGUUUAAGCCAUAAUCCCGAAGUUGACUUUGUAUCCAUACGACUUGAGAUGUACAAGAUGCUGCAGCAAUGUAUUCAACUUCUGCAGUGGAUAACGAAACACAAGUUUGUUUCUUUGAUUUCCAACUGAUUAAUUUUCCAUCUAGAAAUUGACAUCCUCCUGUGGUGCUUUUUCGAUCCAAUCCACAGCCACCCAGAUCAGCAUCUGAAAAUGCUUGCACGAAGAAUCUAGAGUUGGCUGGAUACCAUAGACCUAGAGAGGAAGUUCGCUUUAGAUAGCGAAAGAUGUUCUUCACUGCUUGAAGAUGAGGUUCUCGUGGGUUGGCCUGAAAUCGAGCACAAUAACAGACAGAGAACAUGAUAUCAGGUCUACUAGCUUUGAGAUACAUUAAAGACCCGAUCAUCUAUCGAUAAAGCGUUGUAUCAGCUGCUGGUUUCUCCAAUGAUGGUGUGAGUUUUGUUCCAAAAGCCAUCGACACUUUUACCUUGGAGUCUCCCGUCAUUCCAAACUUGGUGAGCAAAGUCUUGGUAUAUGCUUCCUGAUUAAUAAAAAUGCCUUCGGAUCCCUGUCUAAUAUUCAACCCAAGAAAGAAAUUAAUUGGACCCAUUGAGCUCAUCUCAAACUUAGUAUCCAUCAACUUUCGGAAUUCAGCUAUUAAGAUAGGAUUCGUGGAGCCAAAGAUGAUGUCAUCAACGUAAAUUUGGACUAUCAUAAGGUGGUUACCUUCUCGCUUACGGAAGAAGGUUGGGUCAACCGAACCUUGUUUAAAUUUAGACAUUUUUAAGAAACGAGUAAGAGUUUCAUACCAUGCUCUGGGAGCUUGUUUCAGGCCGUAGACAGCUUUGUCGAGGAUAUAGCAGUGAUCAGGAUACUUCUCGUUCACAAAUCCCGGCGGUUGCUCAACAUAUACAGUUUCUUCAAGUUCACCGUUGAGGAAGGCACAUUUGACGUCCAUUUGAUAGACUUCAAAGUUCAUGUGAGCAGCGUACCCCAGAAAGAUACGAACAAAUUCCAAUCUAGCCACUGGAGAGAAGGUUUCUUCAUAAUCGAUUCCCUCUUCCUGACAAUAUCCUUUGACCACCAGCCUAGCUUUAUUACGAAUAACAUUUCCUUCUUUGUCCAUCUUGUUUCUGAACACCCAUUUGAGACCGACAACCGAAGCAUCAUUUGGUGUUGGAAUAAGACGCCAUACCUUGUUUCUUUCAAACUCAUUUAGCUCAUCCUUCAUGGCUUGAACCCAAUCUGAAUGAUCAAGAGCCAAAUUAACAGUCUUUGGCUCGAUUUUGGACACGAAUGAAUUGAACAUACAAAACUCGACUUUUGAAAAUAGAGCAGCCUGUUUCGCUUUGAUUUGAGAUCAUGUCAACACCUUUUCAGAGGAUUCCCUAAUAAUUUGAGUGUGGGGAUGAUCUUUGGUCCAUUUCACAAGUGGAGGAAACUUUGGAUCAUAGAUGGGAUCCAAUUCAACAUUGAUUUCUUCUUCGAGUUCAGACAGGUUGUCAUCUUCACUAACUGUUUUCUCCCCCUCGAAGAAUGAUUCCUGUUCAGGACCAACAUUUGUACCUCCUUUUAUUUUUGGAGUUUCAGUGGAGGUGGAUGUACUUGUGGAUGAGUCCUCCCCCUGGAAAGAAGAACCUUGAUCAUGAUGAGGAGAAGAACCCUCCCCCUCGACAGUAGGAUGGUCACCAAAAGGUUCGCUUCCGUCUUCACUUUCGGUUCCUUUGGAUUGAUCAUCAACCAUUUUUCUAGCAGCAUCAUCUAUAACUUGUUUUAUGUUGUCAACUUUCUUGUCUUUCGCAGUUGAUUCUGAUUCAAUUGCUUCCUAAGGCUCAUCAAACAAGAGCAUGAAUUGGUCGAAAAGAUUUGAGAUGGAGAUAGUAACCUAACCAUUCUUUGGAAAUAUGUCUUGUGAUGCAUCUUUGGUUGUUUUUAACUUCUUAACAUAACUAUCGUCAAAAGUGACAUAUUAUGUUUCUUCAAUUUUCGUUGAGCGUUUAUUGAGAAAUCUAUAUGCCUUGGAGUUCAAGGAGUAACCCAAGUAAAUUCCUUCGUCUGACUUCGCAUCGAACUUGUUUCGAUUCUCUUUGGAGUUGAAAAUGAAGCAUCUAGAACCAAACACAUGAAAGAAUUUCACAUUUGGUUUUCGAUUGUUCAGAAUCUCGUAAGGAGUAAUGGAAAACCGUUUAUUCAAGUAAGAUCGAUUCUGAGUGUAGCAUGCAGCCGCAAUUGCAUCAGCCCAAAAGUAUAAUGGCAAGGAUGCGAAGCAUAACAUGGUGUGAGCAACUUCACACAAGGAUCGAUUUCUCCUUUCAACAAUGUCGUUUUGUUGUGGAGUAUAGGGGGCUGAGAAAUUGUGAGUUGUCCCCUUUUCAGCAAGAAAACUUUAAAAAUCUUUGUUUUUGAAUUCCAGGCCAUUAUCGCUCCUUAUAUUACGAAAAAUCUUUAUGAGUUGCGUUUCUAUUUGUUUAAUGAAGAGCUUGAGCUUAGUAACAGCUUCCGACUUUUGCUUGAUAAAGAAGGUCCAUGUGAACCUUGAGAAAUCGUCUACUAUAACCAGAACAUAUUUGUUUCCUCCAAUGCUUUCGAUGGACGAUGAACCACAUAGAUCAAUAUGUAGUAACUCUAAUGGUUCUAUUACCUUAGUGUUGAUUAUUGAAGGAUGGCUCUGCCAACUCUGCUUUCCCAUUUCACACGCUGCACAGAGAUGUUCUUUAUUGAAUUUUAGAACUGGCAGCCCUCGAACAUGAUCACCUAAAACUAAUUUGUUGAUUUCCUUGAAGUUCAGGUGUGAGAGUCUUCUGUGCCAUAACUAGCUUUCUUCGGAGUGUGCCUUUGAGAGUAAGCAGAUUGCUGGUCUACCUCUUAUCGGAUUGAGGUUCAGUGGAUACAUUUCUCCUUUUCGCUUGGAUCUUAAUAGAACGUUGCUUGAUUUCUUCUCGACAAUUUCCGAGCCUUCAUCAUCGAAAGAAACUUUUAACCCGGUACCAACCACCAGCUGUGAUACACCGAUGAGAUUGUGAUGGAGGCCUUCAACGUAUGCUACCUUCCUUAUGGAGAAUUCGCCAUUAGUGAUCAUUUCGUAGCCUUUAAUAGUUCCAAAUGAGUUGUUGCCAUACUUUACAAUUUCACCAUCUUUGAGAGAGCGAAACUCCCUUAGUUCCUCCUUCCUUCCUGUCAUGUGACGAGAGCAGCCACUGUCAAUGUAUCAUUCUUCGUCAAACUGCUCGUCACGUAUAACCUGCAAAAAAUUAAGCAGAUUUAGGAACCCAAAGUUUCUUGGGUCCUUGUGAGCCUUUUACAGGACAUGGUAUAGUAAGAGAAAUAUCAACCAUGUAUGUGCGUUUAAUUAAAGUGGUUUCAUCUUUUCUUUUGAUGGUGAAAACUUUAAUUUUUUUUUUGACUUAGGAGGCUAGGGCUUUUGACAGAAGGACUGUAAUUUAGGGAUUUGGAAUUAGGAGAGACGUUAGGUUCUUGGUUUUUGUGAUUAGUAUUGAAGGUUUGAGGACCGAAACUUUUCUUUCGGUUGGAGUUGGAUGAGGGACCGAAACUUCUCUUUCGGUUGGAGUUGGAUGAGGGACCGAAACUCUCCUUUCGGUUGUAGUUGGAUGAAGGACCGAAACUCUGCUUUCAGUUGUAGUUGGAAGAGGAACCGAAACUCUCCUUUCGGUUGUAGUUGGAAGAGGGACCAAAACUACCCUUUCGGUUGUUCAAGGAUGUAGGACCGAAACUCUCCUUUCGGUUCCUAUCGUAACUGUGCUUCUGGUUCCUUGAGUUUUCUUCCAAUUUAGAAUUCCUUUCAAUCCUUACAAAAUCAGGAUUAUGAGAGUUCCAAAAUCGCUUUCUUUCGAAGAGAUUCUUCUUGUAUCUUACGUUUCGUUGAUGCUUUCGAUCAGCGACCUGUUUUGGAUUUCUAUGAAUGUUGGCCUUUUCUUUUAGAAUCAUGAGUACAACAUUCACUCUUUGAUGAAGAAGUAUCGCUCGUGGUUUGCAUCGGUUCAUCCACAAAUGGUUUAGUUCCACUUGUACUUGGGACAUCGUACUUUGUAGGCUCAUUUAGUCAUUCAGGUAUAUAUCUACCUUUCACUCUCCAUGAGGUUUUCUGAGAAAGACCGUUCGUCUCGUCUGCGUUUUCGAUUGGGCUUGACCAAAAGAAUUCAUCACAUCCACCAGCAUUGUCUUCUUCCACCAUCACAAUUAAUUCUGUAGUUUGUUGUGGAGUGACUCCCGGCACAGUGUGAACUUGAUUUGGGGUAGCCUGAACCUUUUGGUACACGACAACUUUAGCUUUGAGAACUUUGGACUUGUCGGUAAAGGAACGAGCAAACUCAACGGAGUUUUCAGAAAUAAGGUUCUUAUUGGACUUAGGUUCAUUAUUGGCUAAUUCAGAACAGUCUACCAAAUCUUCUACAUAAAUUUCACUCAUAUCAUCAUCCUCAUUAGGUUCAGAUGUAUUUUCAACAUCAAUUUUAUUUUCUGAACUUAAAUUAGGAUUCAAUGAGUCAAAUUUUUGUAUAGUUUCAGCUCUCAGUUACAAUCUGUCAUUUUCAUCUAGUAGAUUUUUGAGCAUGUCCUUGUGGUCCUUGGACAUUAUAUAAGAUUCAAUUUUGUCCAGACCUAUCUUAUAUGCUGGAGACACUUCGUCAGAGGACACAACACUUUCACAGUUGUAUGCUUCUGCGUCUAUUUCAUCCUCCUUUAAUUCAAGGAAAGGUAAAAUCAUACGAUGAAUUUUCUUCCCUAUUUCACAAUCAAGAUGCAACUGAGUAAUGUUAAAAUAAAGCCUCUUAGCAAUCAAACAAAAAACGUUUCUCUGUUUGAGAAGUUUAAGAUUGUCUCUUUGCAAAUAAAUAGAAUCAUCUUUUGAUCUAAUUAAUUCUUUUUCCUUUUGCUCGAUCCACAUUCUUCGUUCCUCACUCUUUGAUGAAAUCCUGCUGAUUUGAUCAGUUAGGUUAGAAUUCGUGACACGGGUUUGGGUGAGACUGCUACUUAUGUUAGAGAAUUUUGACUUCAAAUUAUUUAAUUCCUUUUCAUAAUUAUUAGCAGGUAUUUUUAGAGAAGCAAGAAUAUCUUGUACCUUUUUGAUCAAUUCAUCACACUCAUUGAUCUGAGCACUGACAGACUUAGCAGCGAAACAUCUGCCCUCUCGCUCUCUUUCUUCUUCAACUCCCCCAUCAGUUGUGUAUCCUCUCUUUUAGGACACGCCCUCGGUCACUGCAAAGCAUCUUCCCAUUGACUGUUCAGCUUUCGCCAUCAUUGCUUUUCCUUGAGUUGGCUUCCUAACUUCAUCAUCCUCCGAAUCUGUAGACCAGACUUCCACGCCUCCAAACUCAUCCCUGUUGGUUGAACCUUGCACAAUCAAAGCAUUCAUAGUAGAGUUAUUAACAUCAGACUUUCUUUUCUUUAUCUCCUCCAAUCUUCUUAGGAGGCUCGCUUCCUCAUCAUCUUCGCCUGUCUUCUCUUCUUUUUUUCUUAGCAUGCAGUCAUUGGCAAAAUGAUUUUUGCCUCCAUAGUAAUGACAAUCAAAUCCUGAGUCGCCUCGAAUUUUAGCUUCCUUCUUUGACUCUUCGGAUUUUGAACCCAUCUUCGGUUCCUCCUUGACCCGUUCGGCGCUAUAACUUCCCUGCCAAUUUCGGUUUUUGUUGGCUGGGAAUUUUUUCUUGCUGAAUUUUCUGGGGUUUGACACCAUCAUUGCAUAUUCUUCGCCGGUUAGAUCAAAGUCAACAAGAUCUAAUUCCUUUUCUUCUUCAAUCGGACUUUUUCCUUUGGAGACAAGAGCCAGAGAACCAAGACCCGAAACUACAUUCGUUUCCUUCGAUAAGGAAUUCUCAUGGGAUUUUAAAAUAACCACAAGUUUUGCCAAAGAGUAUGAAUUGAACUGUUCAUGAGCUUUGACAGUUGAAACAACGGCCAUCCAUUCAGGUCUAAGACCAUUCAUGAAAGUGACCUUUUGUUCAAUCACCUUUCUUUCAAUCCCAUGCUUUAUCAUCUUGCUCAAAUGAAGAUUGAAACGAUCGAAAGUUUGGAUAAGCUUUUCUUUAGGAUUUUGCUUAACAUAACCAAACUCUGAUAACAAGAGGGUUUGAAUGGAGUGUUCCAGAUCUUCAUCUAUGGAAUAUAAUUCCUUCAAUCUAUCCCAGAUCUCCUUGUCCGUAGCAUAGGAACUUACCAAACGAAAUGUAUCCGAUUGCAGCGCAAACCUUAUCAUCCUUAGAGCUUUGAUGUUGCACUGAAACUUCUCUUUUUCAUCCUGAGGAAUGUCUUUGACGUCAUUAACAAGCUGAUUGUAUUCUUUCUACAUUUUAACAAUCUUUGACGUGCUAGAAUGAGCGAAUGGGCCUGAAGUGAUUGCUUCCCUGAUUAGAUACCCAUUACCCUCCGAUCCAAUUACGUAAUCUUCAAAGUGAUGCGUCCAGACUUCAUAGUCUUGCAUAUACAAGAUCAGUAUUCUUGUUGUAGACCCUAUGCUGUUUGAGAUAUUUAUCGUAUUGGUUGAGAAUCGACCAUAGACAUUGUGAAUACUUUUGAUCAAAAACCUGUAAAAGAUCAGGCUUGUAAUAUUUCGAUUAAGGUUGGAUUAACAAUUAAUGAGAUACGCCAAUAAGGAAUGACGGCUCAAUAAAUAUCAAUCAAUGGGGAAUAAGAACCCUAUGAACUUCUUCGACAGAAGAGGUGUGUAUAGAUUACAUAGUCUCCUGCUCUGAUACCAAUUGAUGAGUUCAAAACUCUUAGAUCGUUUAGAUCUUUCACAAGAAUGAUAAAAGAAUUCAAACAGUUUAAGAACAAAUUAAGAACGAACACAGAACAAAAUCAAAUAUUAGGUUAUGAUUCAAAACUAAGUCACGCCUCAGCAGAGCGCGAUGAAGAACUUCCGCUGUAGAGGCGAGCUACGGUUUACAAGCUAUGAAAACGAAAACAAUAAAAGCGCUCUAUUUUAAGUCUGCAUGCAUGUAGCUUAAAUACUAAACACUAAUAGAAAAUAAUGCACGGCUGGACAAGCCAAAUACCGGCGUUUAAACUAGGCUAUGGACCGAGCCCAUGACACAAUCCGUUAGACUCAACAAACUUGUCGCAUAGGGGAAGGUUGCCAGCAUACCUACUAGUAGGUGUUUGAGCUGUGGAUCCCACUGCAGAAGCAGUAGCAGCAGGGAUAGUAGCAUCAUGGACUGCUACAGUUUGUUGCUUCUUCGAGGACUCCUGAGAAGGCUGACUUUUCUUAUUCUUCAAAAACUUUCUUUUCUCACCGCUUCUCUCUGUCGGCUCAGGAGUGGUGGCUGCUUCCUCUAGGUCAUCGCUAUGGUCGAUCAGGGUUUGUGCUAAGCAUUUGGCGCUGUCGUAGGUGUUUGGCUUCGCAACCAAGACAUUUCCUUUGGUUGGCUGGGUCAACCCCCAGAUAAAUCUCUCAAUCUUCUUACUCUCCAGGGUAACCAUUCCCGGACAGAGUAGCGCCAAGUCAUCAAAUCUUGAAGUGUGAGCGGCGAUAUAGGAACCCUUCAUCUUCAGUUACCAGAGUUCGUGUUCUAGCUUUUGCAUUUCGCCCCGAGGGCAGUACUCUGCAAGAAGAAGUUCCUUCAUGGCCUCCCAACCCAUAACAUUGGCUACGGGUAGGGUUAGGUAUUUGACUCGGCCGUUCCACCAAGUCAGGGAUUUAUCGGUGAAUGUGCAGGCAUCGAACUUCACCUUAUCAGCUUCAGAGCAAACUCAGAUUUCAAAAAUAAAUUCGAUUUUCUCGAACCAUCGGGUUAGGGAAAUGACACCUCCAGUGCCAUUGAAAUAUGUGGGUUUCGCAUUCAGAAAGUCUUUAUAGGAACACUCCUUCCGGUGUCCCUGGCUACCUUCCUGGUUUUGGGAUUGGGUACCACCUCCUGGACACCCGGGGCCACCAGGGUUUAUUUGAGACAUGGCGGUUGCCACUGCAGCAGCAACAGCUGCCUGGAACAUUACGGAAUCAAAUUGGGGAGGAGGUGGUGGUGGAGGAUUGUUGUUCUUUGAGCAGGGUCUCUUUCUUGGAGGCAUCUUGAUCUAAAAGAGCAGGAAACAGAGGAUGGUAAGUCCUCUGAAUUGAGUCAAGAGAUAUGAUACAAGGGAUAUCACUUUAUGAUAGAUAUCGAAUUCUAUUAAGCGAUAAAGCAUGAAAGAGUUAUCAAAGCAGAUAAACUAUCGCUAUAGGAAUGAUUGAGGAGCAACUUGGCUUUCUAGUAAGAGAGUAGAGAGAGAGAGAGAGAGCGUAGAGAGAGCAUAAAAAGUUUCAAAAUGAAGUUCUUUGAACUUUAUAUAUGGUUUGAGUUUGAGACACGGUGGAAUUCUACCCGAUACUAACGUUAAACGAGGCUUUUGGUCGGACCCGGUUAAGUUGUCGUAACCCCAUAUGGUCGAAACUAAAAUUUUUCCAAUUACUAAAUAGGGGUGUUUUCAUGUGUUUCUAAAGGGUUUGGAUACUUACAAGGGCAUAAUAAAAGUCUUAAAUUAAUUGACGUAAUCCAAAAACGAAAUCGUAAAAAUUCACAAAAGACGAGUUUUUAUGGACAAAAUGUGUUACAGCGAUGGAAUAAACUUCGGGUUGUCACACGGUGCAUAAGGGUCUCUUCUGCGUUUGGAAUGUUUUCUCUUCCCAGUCAAAGACCACAGGCUUCUGGGUCAAAUUCAUAAAGGGUUUUUCAAUUCGAGAGAAGUUCUGGAUGAACCUACUAUAGUAGCCAGCAAGACCUAGAAAUUGGGGAAUUUCUAUAGGCAUCUUCGGUGCUGACCAGUUCUCAAUGGCUUUGAUUUUGGAAGGUUCCACAUGAAUUCCCUCUUUACUAAUAACAUGACCCAGGAAUUCGACUCUUUGAAUCCAAAACUCGCAUUUAUAGAACUUCGCAAUUAGCUUCUCUAUUGUUGAUGCACAUACGAAACGAUCCAUUUUUCUUCCUGGCGAACAAGACCGGACCUCCCCAGGGUGAGAAGCUUGGUCUUACAAAGCCUUUGCUGAGCAGUUCGUUAAGUUGACCAGACAAUUCUUGCAUCUCUACAGGUACUACUGGGGUAGCCCCUGGAAUUUAGUUGAUUUUGAACUCGACUUGUCAUAGCGGAGGUAAAUCGUGGAAGUUCUCCUGGAAAGGUGUCGGGGAAAUCUAAAAGAAAGUAUGAUUAUUCAUGAAUUAGAGAAAGGAUUAGUACUUCUGUUCUAUCUUUAUCUCUUGUUCCGAUCGGCGGGAAGGGCAUUUGUUUGGUUCCUAUGUUUAUUCACAUGGUAGCACGAUCGCUCGUAGUCUUGAGUAGUCUCCGUCCUGAAGUUCAUAUUAGAAGUCAUAUUUGGUUCAUCAAUCAAAUCUUUGUGUAUACGAGUCGUAUAUAAUUAAGAUUGAAAAGGAAUUCAAAUAAAUGAUUCUUCUCUAAGCUCACAUCCAAACAAGUAAAAGAAGUUAAAGCGGAAUCAUCAAUUCUAAGCAUGUAGAACCUUAAUUAUAUACCACCCUUGCAUAUACAUUCCUCAGCGAUAGAUUAACCAUAUGGGUCUUCGGAUUGAACUUGAAGUAUUGUACGAGCGGUAUACCGGGGAGGUUUGCUGAUGUUCCUUCGGGAAGGAUACGAAACAUAAUAUACUCUACGCAUGACUACCUCAGAGUUCAGGAAUGACGACUUCUCUAGAAAGGCGAUUACGGGGAAAAGGAUUUUUGCAUGAGACUAGUAUUGUGAGGACUGAGUUAACUCAAGUUAUAUGAUAAUAUCAGACGACUCGGAAUAUAAGGCGUUAGACUAGAUCAUAAAGGUGUUACAAAACAUAAUGGUGAAAUUUUGAUAGAGUUUUAGUAUUUUAGUUUUAUCUAUAAAACUACCAAUACAAACAAGGUGUACUACAAAAAGCAAGUAUACGCAACAUUAGAGUCCCUUGACUGACAGGAUCUUCCAAAAGAUAAGACACGAGUUGCACUAGUUUUUUACAGUUUAUAAGUCUACCAUAUCGAAACGCCCUAGAAUUUCAAUGUGGGCCAGAGUAGUCUCUUUUGCGGCACUGAUACUUAGUAUCUUCCCAUCUACGCCAGAGUUCUUUCUUAUGGGACAAUCCUUCUUGAGAUGUCCUAUCUCACUACAUAUAUAUUAAAUAUACGACUAAUUUCGACAUUGGUGGUUGAAGUAACGUGUUGGGUUCGAGUUCUGCAGAAACGGGUAGUGUGCCCGUUCUUGUUGCAUCUUUGACAAUGUAACACUCAACAUGCACCCAGGUCAUGGAAAUAACACUUUGAGCAUUUGGGUAGAUUUCCGACAUAACGCUUUGCAGGGAUAGGGGUAAUAGACAUCGUGGCUGCAGAGGUCGGCCUUGAUUUUUGUCUCUUGGAUAUCUUUUGAAAUGUUUUACCAAUCUUCUUAUCCCAGAAUAUUUGUUUCUUGCUCUUUAGUUUGUGGGUUAGGAUGUCCACCUAUGUUGGCGUUCAUUGGUUUCCUUGGAUGUUAUUUCGUCCUGAGGGGUUGAUAUUGCCUUUAAUUUCGUUCGGUCUGUUGGAUUGGAAUUAUGCCAUCAUAGCGGUCACAGCAGUUGUUACAGUAGCUUGGAAUGUAGUGGCAUCUAUAUGGAGGAUCGGGGUUUCUACGAUUAACUGACUAUUUCUGGAUGACGACACUAUCUCUUAUACGAAAUAAAAGGAGUUCAUGAGCUGUUUAUGGUUGAAUCUAGACGUAUUCUACUCUUUUACAUCAAUGUAACUUUUUCGUUUUACUAAACUGUUCUCGGUGGUUUGACCUACAUCACUAUGAUGUAGUACUGGAAAAGAGUUGAAGUAAUUUCAUAGAAUGGUCACUAAACGACUUAUAUUUCGAACUAGACUAUCAUUCGUUGGUGGAUAACAUGAUCGAAACUUCGACAAGAAUUGGAAGUGAUGCUUGAGCUAAAUUACCAUAGCUCAAUAACUGACCAAAAUGAGUUUUAGAUAGAAUUCUAUUGAUAUUAGAAUGAAGGAGUUUGGACAAGGAUCAUCAUAGUGAUUAGCCAAUUGUUAAUAUCCUUGAUAUUUAGGAUGUAUUAAGUUCGGGAAAAAUUUACCUUGGAGCAGGUCUUACAUCAUAUCGGAAGUAGAAAUGUUUUGAAAGCAUACUUGCCUAACUAAAAAGUACUUGCAGUACAGUGACAGCUACAUACAAAAGUGCUACAUGGGGCAUAGAUAGGAAAAUGAUUCCUUAUACCAAAGGAAGAAAGGUGUCACACCCCAAAACCAAGAAUGGCGGAAACGUUCUGGGGCGGAGGACGUCAUGUAAGGUAAUCACAACACAGUAAAUGUAAAUAAGCAAACAACAUCAUCCAUUGCAUUAAAUAUAUAUUCUUAAUACAAGCGUGUUCUGUACAGUUUUAGACACCAAAAAUAUAACGUAAAUCAAAAUAAUAAUAUGAUGAGUCUUGAGUGCGCUCCAUCAUCUCAAAAGCUGGCAUCGGUACCUGUCUACUGAUGACCUGAGAAUACAAGUUAUUUUGAAAGAGUUUAUCAGCAUUAAGCUGGUGAGUUCAUAAGUAUUUUAAUGUUGGUGUUUGUUAUCAAAAACGUUUGAACANUAAAUGUUUAAAAGUAUUUGCAAAAGUUUGAAUCUCUCAGAAAAUCCUAUAUUUUCUAUAAAAGUAACCUUCUACCAAGGCUUAACUGUUUUGUAAACUCGUCUGUUGUAAAAGUGUGUGAUUACCCAAGUAUAACUAUCAUUUGAUAAAAUAUAGUUUGUACAUUAAUGCUUAAGUGAGAUUAUCACCAAAAUAUGUAAUGGGUAAAUCAUUGUAGUACUGUAGUUUUGUAUAAUAAGAACUACUGUUGUACUAAUUACUACUACCUUAAACCGGAUUUAUAUUAAGGUAUAAUGUGAUAAUUGCACCAUACUAUCGACUGAUAACAACGACAUAAAGAACGGUCGUAAUAACGGAAUGACGUUUGGCACCCGCAGACCUGCAGGUCCGGCUGUAGCUAACAGCAAGCUGUAGGGUAGUCAAUCCAGUAUAGAUCUAUACGCAAACUCAACGCUCUCCCUCCAAGAGAAUUCUGGCUACAACUCGGGCCAUGACAUUUAAGGCAUGCUCCAGUACAAUGGAUCACAUUUGUUAUCGUAUUCUUGCAUAUGUGAAGAAAUGUUUCUCGUUCUAGUAUAGUUGUAUAUGCUCUCAUAGUAUAGUUAUAUAUUCUCUUCCUAGUAUAGACUCAUGAAUGAACUGACUCAUUGAUCUAGUAGUUGUAAUAGUAUGAUUCUGUGUUACCCCGAUGGUAACUUGCUAACGGUGCGUCUAGUACGUAUGAUUAUGGAAGUACUUUUAUGUCUAUAUAUGUAUAUUUGAUAUAUAAUUAAUAUGGAAACGACCUUCGGAUGGUCACCCGAAAUCCCACCAGACCACAUCCAAAUCGAGAAAAAGGAAAUAGGGUGGAUGGCCUUCCUAAGCCCUUUAAACAUUAUUUAUACAUCUAUACAUAUAUGGGCAUGCAAUUUAUAAUAUAAAAGCAUAAAUAAGUAUUUAUAAGACAUUUGAAACAUAAGUAUUAUUUUUAAAGAAAGAUCGACUUGAUGUCAAUCUAUAAAACAAUUUGAAGGCAUAGAUUUGAUUAAAACAGUUUAAGUAUAAGGAACAUUUGUUUAAAUCACAGUUGUAGUAUAAAUUUGAAAAGUAAAUGGGUUUGGAAAACAUUUUGAAGUAAAACAGUUUGAUAGACAGUUUGAACAGUGAUAAAAUCACUGGUUUCCCUAGUUAUUAAUCACAUGUGAUUAAUGCAAUCACAU
rnacentral:lncRNA from 1 species